ensembl:misc_RNA Gm24597 predicted gene, 24597
GGAUGUAGGAGUGAUCUGGCUGUGACAUCUGUCACCCCAUUGAUCGCCGGGGUUGAUUCUGCCGAUCUGGAUGGAUGGACGGAUGGAUGGAUGGGUGUCCCUUCCCUGCCUCAUGGAUCCAUGUGUGUCCGUCCCAAGGCUGCACACUGGGUCGAACAGGAUGACUUGUCUUUGGACAAGGAAAAACAAGUAGCUGUGUUUCCUUACUAGAUCCUCCAAACAAACUCGAAAGUCAAUUUUUAAAGGAACAAAAAGUAAAGACAAAAAGUAUCUGACAUGAUGAGGUCAGUGGUUUCCAGAUGUUCUUU